rfam:Parascardovia denticolens DSM 10105 chromosome, whole genome shotgun sequence.
GGGGUCGAUCGGUUUCGACGGUGAUCUGUUCGUCACUGGGAAGCGUGCCGAGAACGCAGGGGUCCGCUCGUUAAUGUCCUCCUGCAAAAAUCAAGUGCUAAAUCCAAUCGCACUGAGUUCGCCCUUGCUGCCUAAGCUUCGCGCUAGGAUCUAACCAGCGAGUUCGCGACUCCGUUCACUCCCCCUCGUCUUCGGAGGGAUGCUGAGCGUUAUGAGAAGACUUGCCUGAAGCGUUGAGACUCAAGGCGUUUCAGGGACUUUCAUUGCGUCUAUGCCUGCCGCGCGUGGUUUGCGUCAGCGCGGGGGCAGACAGAUAGCCAAACGGCCAGCAAACUACGCACGUAGAAGACAGCGGGUACGGUUACCGGACCGGGGUUCGAUUCCCCGCGGCUCCACCA